rnacentral:rRNA from 1 species
UACGAAGGGGGCUAGCGUUGUUCGGAAUUACUGGGCGUAAAGCGCACGUAGGCGGAUCGAUCAGUCAGGGGUGAAAUCCCAGGGCUCAACCCUGGAACUGCCUUUGAUACUGUCGAUCUGGAGUAUGGAAGAGGUGAGUGGAAUUCCGAGUGUAGAGGUGAAAUUCGUAGAUAUUCGGAGGAACACCAGUGGCGAAGGCGGCUCACUGGUCCAUUACUGACGCUGAGGUGCGAAGGCGUGGGGAGCAAACAGG